AUGCAAUUCACGAUGUAAUUGAAGAAUCUGAUUAUCUCUACGUCUGCAAAAAAAUGCAAGGACAGAUAUAUGAGAUUACCGACUUCUAUACGCGAAAACCACGGCUGGUGUCGAAAUAUAAAAUAGUUGAUCAUAAGGCAGAACUCCGUUUUGAUGAAUCAACAAAAUUUAAAGUUGUUAAGGAUACCUUCCCUCCGAUACCAGAGCAUUUGUUUCAUGUUCUUGAAUUCAAUCAGUUGGGAGCACAAGUGAACACUCAAGAAGUACUUAUAGAUGUUUAUGGCUGCAUAAAAUCGAUUCUACCAGAGCAUCAAGUUAAUGUGAAGGACGGUACAAAACUGGAGUCAAAAUGCGAAGUCUUCAUAGAAAACUUGAGGAGAGGAUUUAAGAAUCACCUUUUGGGGUCAUGCUGCUAGACAGUUUGAUAUAGAAAGUGUGAAGAGAAAAUCUCCACCAGUGCUCGCUGUAUUCACAGGUUUAAUAAUAGGCAAAUAUCUGGAGCGAGUCACAGCAACAGCAACAAAUCAUACUUGCAUGAUCAUCGAUCCACACAAUUCAGCAGCAAGUGAAUACAUAGCUGAAUUUUCGAGACGUGGCGAUAAAGUCAAGAUACUUCCUGUACCAUUCAAACGACCAACAGCAGAAGAAUUGAAGAACCAAAUGACAAAAUCGAUCUUUGAUCUGAAUAGACUGGACCCAGAUUCAUACGUGUUACAAAGUUUAUGUGACAAUUCAUGAUGAUCAUUAUCAAGCAACAGUGAUUCUGAUGGGGAAGCAAGGACAACAGUUGUUCGGCAUCAGUUGUCAGGAUUUGGUCAAUAAAAGACUAUAUCCAACAGAGCAGACGUUACCAAAAGAGAUUAAGAAAAUGGUUGGCCAAACCUAUCUAUUUCAUAUCCAAAUCAAUCAAUAUGGUGAACUGGUGGUUGAAAAUGUUUUCCCAAGUCAACAAUCAUCUGCGUCAAUGGUAGAACAAAACCCAAGCACUGCAACACCAGAGCGCCUUUCAUCUGAAAAAAAGAGAGGCAUUGAAACAAGUGGAAAAACAUUGUUCAUCACAGAGACUGAGAAAAAAGCCAAGAGUGACAAACAAAUCAAACACGGAGAAACAGUGUCACCAUCGUCAGCAUCAUCAUCAACAAGCAAGGAACUAUCUCAGCAAGAGAAAGCCAACUGAAUCCAAAUCACUCUUUUGUAUAGCUAUGGUUCAUUUUCUUCCAUCAUACCUGCGUUGACUACGUUUUGUGUACAAGCACAGUCAGCGAAACAACUGGAGAACGCUGUACAGUUGGGACUGCUAGGAUUUUGCUUUUUGAACAAAGUGUUUUGACAACCAACUCCAGUUGUUCCAACAGGAUGUUAACUCAUGUUUAAUUUUCUUUUUGUAAGUUUGUAACUAAGACAAUCAACCUGACUAUGCAGCUGUCCCUUUUUUGUAGAGCUGCAAUUAACACAGCUAGCAAUACUGUGCAGCUAGCAUUUUUGAACUGUGUCAAAUAGAAUGCAGUGCAGCUGAAAUGUAAAUGUAAUGUAAUAAUUUUCACUCCCUAUAUAAUGUAAUGUAAUGUAAUAGGUGGACUGUGAUUCCAGCUGAGAU